rnacentral:tRNA from 1 species
UCCCUGGUGGUUCAGUGCUUAAGACUCUGCACUUUCAAUGCAUGGCACAUGGGUUUGAUCCCUGAUCAGGGAA